GGCAGACGCUGGGGAGAAAGCCCUCUCCUCCUUCUCCCUCUUUCCCUCCCUCUUUGCAAAGGAGAGCUCUUGGCUGACCCGCCCGAGCCACUUUCUCCAGGGACUUGGACUGUGAAGCGCACCUGGCGCUGGGACGACGAGGAGGCUCAGGUGGAGAUGGUGACCCCAUGACUUCCAUAGAACUUCCUUGGGCAAGAUAUACUCAAAGACAGUUUUGCCAGUUCCUUCCUCUGAAAUAUGGCAUCUGUUCUUUAUGCUUAAACUGAUGGACUGGACAGUCCUUUAAACAGAAGACUCCUUCAGAAAGAAGAAUGGCCUCCAAUUGCCCUUAAACCGAAAACAUGUUAUGUACAGUGAGGACCCAAGAAACAGUCACCAUCAUAAACUUGCUUUAAGUUGGUUUGUUUAAAUAAAACAUAGCUAAUAUUAAGCUUAGUUUGUCCUGCUUCAGAUAUAAAAAUAACUAGUAGUUAGUUAAAAAUAGAAGUGAAAGCUUCUGAUCUUCUCCCUGUGGGUGUGCUGGAGAAGGGA